rnacentral:lncRNA from 10 species
GCACAAGAGUAUAAGAAAUUCCGGCUGCCUGUUUCUGGGCUAUUUAAAUCCCAGUAGACAUGCUCUCUUGUACAGACUUCCUGGGCUCAACCCAGCUCACAGGGAGCUGGGGAAUCUGUAUUACAUUAUCAGUUAUUGUUUUUGGUCAAAUCUAAGGACAAACAUAUGAAGAAGCAGAGCAUGCAGCACUGGUUCAGGAGGUUCAAGCAACAUUAUCAGAUUCUUGUUGAGAAACAAAUGGUUGUUACUGUGCCACCGCACACUGCAGACAAUUCCUAGAUAUCGAGAGAGGUCCAAGCUAGCAACAGAGAAUUUAAUACUAGCUGCUGGACCGGGACUCCUGGGCUCACUAUGUUGCAGCUACAGAUUCUCAGAAUGCCAUUUAAACUUCCUGAGUUUAUCUGAGAAGUAAACCAAGGGUGUAGGUGAUGAGGCAGCAUUUACUGGUACAGUUAGUCCCCCCUUAUCCACAGUUUUGCUUUCCAUGGUGUCAGUUACCCACAGUCAACCACAGUCUGAAAAUGUUAAAUAGAAAAUUCUAGAAAUGAACAACUCAUAAAUUUUAAAUUGCACAUUGUUCUGAGCAGCAUGAUGAAAUCUCGUGCCAUCCACUCUAUCUCACCCUUGAAUCAUCCCUUUGUCCAGCACAUCCAGGCUGUAUAUAUCGCCCACCAGUUAGUCACUCAGUACUGUCUGGGUUAUCAGAUUGUUGCAGUAUCACAGCGCUUGUGUUCCAGUAACUCCUAUUUUACUUAACAAUGUAAAAGUGCAAGAGUAGUAAUGCUGGUAUAUUGUUAUAAUUGUUCUAUGUUAUUAUUAACUACUGUUAGCCUCAUUAACAUUUAAUUUAUAAAU